GCAGGAUUAGCUCGUAAAACCGAGCAUACACACUAAUCUACGGUUUAAACGCGUAUUUCUAUUCCUGUGGAGGUAUUUUAUUAGACUUUUUGGAAUAGCUGACUGAAUAUAAAGCACUGAAUGACUGCUGAGGUGACCUGAAGCCAUGAAUGCUUCAAUGAAUCUCAAACUGCGAGAACAAGUAUUUCUACACGGAUCAGGAAGGAGGUGGCGGGGGGAUGUAAGGUAGGUUAGAAGGACGGAUGGACAAGAAAAACAAAGAAAAGAAAUCAAGAUCUGAAAAAUGGCUGCAUUUCCAUCCAGUGUGGGAGGUGGUGUGAUUUAUUCUGCCAGUCAGCUGUUCACUAAGUAUCAACCUCAGGUGUGUCACAGUUAAAGCUGUUAUUUGCGCCUCAGACAGUGGACUUUGUAUGCAUGAACUGCUUAGGCACUUCAUUGCCUCGUUUUUUAAAGUCAGUAACAAAUAACAGUUGUUUUCAUGAAGACUGAAUGAAAAAGGUGCACAAGAAGGUUAAAGCAAUAUCAAAGUUUUAUUCGUAAAAUGUAGUAUAGAGAGGAACAGUAGUACAAUUCAGACAGAAAAAAGGAAAAUGUAGUUCCAUCUUUGAAAACCUUUGAUAAAAACGUAAAAAGAGUAACCUGAAUUUGCUUCGUGUUCGGAAAAAAGGGCACUGAGGCGCGGCCCCGGGUUUUGCAUCACUGUUAAAAGUUCGAGAGAUAGAGAGAAGAGUUGAAAAAUACAACCUUUUUUUUUCUUUUUUUUUUGCAACAGC